GGACUUGGACAAUGGAGGAAACUCUGAUCCAGCCAUGCCGCGUGAGUGAAGAAGGCCUUCGGGUUGUAAAACUCUUUCAGUAGUGAAGAUGAUAACGGUAACUACAGAAGAAGCUCCGGCUAACUUCGUGCCAGCAGCCGCGGUAAUACGAAGGGGGCGAGCGUUGUUCGGAAUCACUGGGCUUAAAGCGUACGUAGGCGGAUUUGCAAGUCAGAAGUGAAAUCCCAGGGCUCAACCCUGGAACUGCUUUUGAAACUGCAAGUCUAGUGUCCCGGAGAGGUUGGCGGAAUUCCGAGUGUAGAGGUGAAAUUCGCAGAUAUUCGGAGGAACACCAGUGGCGUAGGCGGCCAACUGGACGGGUACAGACGCUGAGGUACGAAAGCGUGGGGAGCAAACAGGAUUAGAUACCCUGGUAGUCCACGCCGUAAACGAUGUCGACUAGCCGUUGGGGAACUUGAUUCUUUGGUGGCGCAGUUAACGCGAUAAGUCGACCGCCUGGGGAGUACGGCCGCAAGGUUAAAACUCAAAUGAAUUGACGGGGGCCCGCACAAGCGGUGGAGCAUGUGGUUUAAUUCGAUGCAACGCGAAGAACCUUACCAGGCCUUGACAUCCU
rnacentral:rRNA from 1 species